rnacentral:rRNA from 1 species
GACUAUAGCAUCAGGGUUCCACCUCUUCCCAUUCCGAACAGAGAAGUUAAGCCUGAUCACGCCGAUGGUACUGCGUAACAGUGGGAGAGUAGGUAGUCGCCGUUU